rnacentral:rRNA from 1 species
CCUACGGGAGGCUGCAGUGGGGAAUUUUGGACAAUGGGGGCAACCCUGAUCCAGCCAUGCCGCGUGCGGGAAGAAGGCCUUCGGGUUGUAAACCGCUUUUGUCAGGGAAGAAAUCUUCCGAGCUAAUACCUUGGGAGGAUGACGGUACCUGAAGAAUAAGCACCGGCUAACUACGUGCCAGCAGCCGCGGUAAUACGUAGGGUGCAAGCGUUACGCGGAAUGUCUGGGGGUAAAGCGUGAGGACACGGUUGAAAUCCCCGGGCUUAACCUGGGAACUGCACUUGUGACUGUACGGCUGGAGUACGGCAGAGGGGGAUGGAAUUCCGCGUGUAGCAGUGAAAUGCGUAGAUAUGCGGAGGAACACCGAUGGCGAAGGCAGUCCCCUGGGCCUGUACUGACGCUCAUGCACGAAAGCGUGGGGAGCAAACAGGAUUAGAUACCCUAGUAGUU